rnacentral:rRNA from 1 species
GACGAACGCUGGCGGCGUGCUUAACACAUGCAAGUCGAACGGUAAGGCCCUUCGGGGUACACGAGUGGCGAACGGGUGAGUAACACGUGGGUGAUCUGCCCUGCACUUCGGGAUAAGCCUGGGAAACUGGGUCUAAUACCGGAUAGGACCACUGCCUGCAUGGGGGGUGGUGGAAAGCUUUUGCGGUGUGGGAUGGGCCCGCGGCCUAUCAGCUUGUUGGUGGGGUGAUGGCCUACCAAGGCGACGACGGGUAGCCGGCCUGAGAGGGUGACCGGCCACACUGGGACUGAGAUUAGGCCCAGACUCCAACGGGAGGCAGCAGUGGGGAAUAUUGCACAAUGGGCGCAAGCGUGAUGCAGCGACGCCGCGUGAGGGAUGACGGCCUUCGGGUUGUAAACCUCUUUCAGCACCGACGAAGCGCAAGUGACGGUAGGUGCAGAAGAAGGACCGGCCAACUACGUGCCAGCCGCCGCCGUAA